CCAACAGCACUAACAUGUAGAAGCCUAUUACCUACAGACAAGGAUGCAACUUCCCUCCUUAGAUGAAAAAAAACAUGCUUAACUUCAUUAGUUACAUUCAAAUAUAUACAGGGAGAUAGAGGUCGUGAUUAUUGCGAGUGAAUAUUGUGAUAGCGAUAGGAAUCCAACGUUUUCGGUGGUUGUAAUACUCAAUGGAGGAUAUAGAAGAUUCGGGUGCCCUAGUGGCGGUAAAAAUGACGACUGUAGGUUCGGUUUCUGUUUUGCUUCUUCGUCCGGUUUUUAUAUAGAAUAUUGAUAAACAAGUCUGUCAUGCCCACAGAUAUUCCCCUAUAUAUUAAAAACACAACGUUUUGAACAGUAAUAGAAGGGUUUUUAUGUAAAUUACCCCACCGUUUAAAACCCUCAAGCCCUACCUUACACCCACAGUUGAAAGAGAGAUGCCGGGAGGUGGUUACCGCUGGCCACACGUCGCCGCCCUAGCCAUAUAAAACCCUCAAGCCCUACCUUACACCCACCGUUGAAAGAGAGAUGCCAGGAGGUGGUUACCGCCGGCCACACGUCGCCGGCUCGCCGCCCUAGGUAUAGAAAGAGGAAGCCGACCAUAGAAAAGGGAACUCAGUGGAAGUUCCGCAGCUCAUGGUCACGAUCGUUUAUCUGAUUACAAGGCAGUGGUGGUUCAAUUGAGACCUCAGACAGUCGUCGGCUAGGGUUCAUGACUCGUAGGUGACGACGGAGACGAUGUAGGUUAAGUUUCAAGCGAUCAAUGGUGUCAAACGAUGGUCGUUCAGAACAAAUGGACGGUUGGCGACGGGUUAAAACAAGGGAACACAUUCUGGUGGUGGUGGUUUCACGGCGGUGAAGAUGAGUGGAAUCGGUGAUUUCGGUUGGCAGAUCUGGUAGUAGAGGGGCUGCUUGACCAAAAGAUAAAACCUUCUUUCAGUCCUCACAGUCAUCAGAUUCCAAUGGUUGUGUAGAUGAAGUCUACUACAGUUCUUUUAUCCACCAAAGGACCAGUAGCAAUCAUGAGAUCUGUAGGUAUAGAAAAGUGGAGAGAGAUGGAGAUGUGUGAGCGGUUAGCACUGACAAUGCUCCUUCGCCGAUAUUGGUGAACGACGUACACUACUCCAGAUCCCAACUGUUUUAGUUCCAGAUCUUAAUCUCUUCGUGCAAGAAUGACGAGCGAUGCCACAAGCCUAAUCGUAAAGAAUUCUCGAAGUUUGUUGUCGGGCUAUUAGUUUCAUUGUGAUGGCAUUCGUAUGGUUUUUUCUUUGCAUUUAAAAUCACUUUGAUUUGGUGGCUCAUUAUCAUACGAAAACAUUCUAAGCUAUCGUGGUCCAGUUAAGAUUCAUUGUUAAACAUAUAUCUUCAACCUAUCGAAAUCUGAUCGAAGCGAGGGCUUCUCACUUUCUAUUCAGAUUUCAGAGGUAUGUAUCUUGCUUUCUUUCUCUGCAUCACGCUUCAAUGAUCGAUGUUAGUUUUAUUUACUAUAUAAUUUUCGAAUUGUUGUCGGCACACAAUUUCUUUAAAGGAUGAGAAUACCUCUACUGAAAACCACGUUCUUUACAUAUGAAUUAACACAUAUUCACUUGCCUUAUAUGUUAUCUCUGCUAACAAUAUAUGAUAUUGAUUUUAGAAGAAUGAUACACCAAUACUUUAGAAUAAACAUGUGUAUAAUUGAUGUGCGUGCGACUUUGUGUUAUUGUAAACCAACUAUGCUUUUUUUACAAUUGCAUCAACAGUUUGACUUUUUUAAGGUCAAACUGUAUACAACUUUGAUACUGUUACAUAUUUUCAUGUAUUUUAUAGAAAGUCGGUAACAAAAAAAUGAGCGGUUUAAAGUAUAUGACAACUAACAUAAUGGCAUUGUUGAAUAUUAACAUUUUGAUUACGAAGUCAAAUUAGGACCUAAAAAGUAAGCUUCGCUCAUCAACAUUUCACAUUUUUUGGUUUUCACUUGACUUUAGGCUGUUGUGUCUUUUUUAAUAUUUGCAGUACCUCAAACAGUCAAAUCAUCUCUCUUUUCUUCUAACCAAAACAAAAACAAAAGUGGGGUCUAUGACAUUUGAUGUUUUCCAAGAUUUUCUCCUGAACUUAGUCAAAUAAGUCUUCAUUUUUAUAUGUAUAUAAUACCUGUCGUAUGAUCAGGUUGCAAACUACUGUAGCACCCGUGUUCAUACUGCUUUACAAGAGGAGUUAGAGCCUCUCAUGGUAAGCUUGGUACCAAUUAAAGUGAUAAUAACUGUUGGAGAAAAUAGCAUUUUACAACUAUUUCCUUAAGGUUGAUGGCUAGAUAGGAAGAAAACAAGGGAGUCAUGAACCCGUUGCUCCCGAAACUGUGGGCUCGACUGCUGUCGUUGCGUUAAUAUGUUUCUCUCAUAUCGGAGUUUCAAAUUUUGGCAAUUAAGGAUAGUUUUAUGCAGAGGGAAAGAAGCCAUGUCACUCUCUGUAAAUCAUAAAGCAAGAUAAAAACAUAUUUGCUUAUGUUCCAACUGAUGAACAUUGACUUUUGUAGUGUUUGGAUGAACAUAUUCCACCUCAUGAACUUUUUUAUGCUACAUUCUUUAAAUUAUAAACAA